rnacentral:rRNA from 1 species
UGAGGAAUAUUGGUCAAUGGGCGAGAGCCUGAACCAGCCAAGCCGCGUGAGGGAAGAAGGCCCUAUGGGUCGUAAACCUCUUUUGUCAGGGAACAAAAGCGAGUAUGUAUACUGGUCUGAGUGUACCUGAAGAAAAAGCAUCGGCUAACUCCGUGCCAGCAGCCGCGGUAAUACGGAGGAUGCGAGCGUUAUCCGGAUUUAUUGGGUUUAAAGGGUGCGUAGGCGGCGGUGCAAGUCAGCGGUAAAAGCCCGGGGGCUCAACCCCGGCGAGCCGUUGAAACUGCAGUGCUAGAGAAGGCGAGAGGUACGCGGAAUGCGCAGUGUAGCGGUGAAAUGCUUAGAUAUUGCGCAGAACUCCGAUUGCGAAGGCAGCGUACUGGCGCCUGACUGACGCUGAGGCACGAAAGCGUGGGGAUCGAACAGGAUUAGAUACC